CCUACGGGUGGCAGCAGUGGGGGAUAUUGCACAAUGGGGGAAACCCUGAUGCAGCGACGCCGCGUGAGUGAAGAAGUAUUUCGGUAUGUAAAGCUCUAUCAGCAGGGAAGAAAAUGACAGUACCUGACCAAGCAGCCCCGGCUAACUACGUGCCCGCAACCGCGGUAAUACGUAGGGGGCAAGCGUUAUCCGGAUUUACUGGGUGUUAAGGGGGCGUAGACGGGUAAGUAGGUCUGGUGUGAAAGCCCGGGGCCCAACCCCGGGACUGCUUUGGAAACUGUGUAACUGGAGUUCGGGAGGGGCAGGCGGAAUUCGUGGUGUAGCGGUGAAAUGCGUAGAUAUCAGGAGGAACACCGGCGGCGAAGGCGGCCUGCUGGACUGAAACUGACGUUGAGGCUCGAAAGCGUGGGGAGCGAACAGGAUUAGAUACCCCUGUAGUC
rnacentral:rRNA from 1 species